rnacentral:rRNA from 1 species
AGUAGGCAUGCAUCUUAGGCAAAUCCGGGGUGCUCUAUGCUGAGAGUUGAUAGCAAGCCAGUUUACUGGUGAAGUGGCUGAUACCAUACUUCCAGGAAAAGUCUCUAAGCUUCAGUUACACUGGAAUCGUACCCGAAACCGACACAGGUGGUCAGGUCGAGUAGACCAAAGCGCUUGAGAGAACUCUGCUGAAGGAACUAGGCAAAAUGGUACCGUAACUUCGGGAGAAGGUACGCUGCCGGCGGUGAUAGGACUUGCUCCUUGAGCUGUUGGCAGCCUCAGAAACCAGGCCGCUGCAACUGUUUAUUAAAAACAUAGCACUCUGCAAACACGAAAGUGGACGUAUAGGGUGUGAUGCCUGCCCGGUGCUGGAAGGUUAAUUGAUGGGGUUAGCGUAAGCGAAGCUCUUGAUCGAAGCCCCAGUAAACGGCGGCCGUAACUAUAACGGUCCUAAGGUAGCGAAAUUCCUUGUCGGGUAAGUUCCGACCUGCACGAAUGGCAUAAUGAUGGCGGCGCUGUCUCCAGCAGAGGCUCAGUGAAAUCGAAUUCGCCGUGAAGAUGCGGUGUACCCGCGGCUAGACGGAAAGACCCCGUGAACCUUUACUGCAGCUUGACAUUGAACUUUGAUCUUACUUGUGUAGGAUAGGUGGGAGGCUUUGAAGUGGUGACGCUAGUUGCCAUGGAGCCGUCCUUGAAAUACCACCCUGGUAAUAUUGAGGUUCUAACUCUGCUCCCUGAUCGGGAGCGAGGACCAUGUCUGGUGGGUAGUUUGACUGGGGCGGUCUCCUCCUAAAGAGUAACGGAGGAGUACGAAGGUGCGCUCAGCGUGGUCGGAAAUCACGCGUAGAGUAUAAAGGCAAAAGCGCGCUUAACUGCGAGACCCACAAGUCGAGCAGGUACGAAAGUAGGUCUUAGUGAUCCGGUGGUUCUGUAUGGAAGGGCCAUCGCUCAACGGAUAAAAGGUACUCUGGGGAUAACAGGCUGAUACCGCCCAAGAGUUCAUAUCGACGGCGGUGUUUGGCACCUCGAUGUCGGCUCAUCUCAUCCUGGGGCUGAAGCAGGUCCCAAGGGUAUGGCUGUUCGCCAUUUAAAGAGGUACGCGAGCUGGGUUUAGAACGUCGUGAGACAGUUCGGUCCCUAUCUACCGUGGGCGCUGGAAAUUUGAGAGGAUCUGCUCCUAGUACGAGAGGACCAGAGUGGACGAACCUCUGGUGUACCGGUUGUGACGCCAGUCGCAUCGCCGGGUAGCUAUGUUCGGAAGGGAUAACCGCUGAAAGCAUCUAAGCGGGAAGCCUACCUCAAGAUAAGAUUUCCCCGAGACUUUAUGUCUCCUAAAGAGCCG